rnacentral:snRNA from 1 species
GGAUGUGAGGGCAGUCUGGCUAUGACAUUUGUCACCUCACUGAUCAUGAAGGAUAAUUAGGCUGAUCUGACUGGCUACAGGGAUGUGGCCUAUCUUCCUCACUGCUCCACGUGUGAACCCCCUGAAACUGCACACUGGUUUGAAGAUGAUGAACAGCCCUGAUAGAGGAGGACCAUUUCCUUGGUCAAGGGUAUAUAAGUAGCACUUCUCUCCUAAAGCCUCCAAACAAAAAAGCUGGGCAAGAUGGCUCAUGACUGUAAUCUCAGCACUUUGGAAG